UGAGGAAUAUUGGACAAUGGUCGGAAGACUGAUCCAGCCAUGCCGCGUGCAGGAAGACUGCCCUAUGGGUUGUAAACUGCUUUUGUACGGGAAGAAACCGCCCCUCGUGAGGGGCUCUGACGGUACCGUACGAAUAAGCAUCGGCUAACUCCGUGCCAGCAGCCGCGGUAAUACGGAGGAUGCAAGCGUUAUCCGGAAUCAUUGGGUUUAAAGGGUCCGUAGGUGGGCGAUUAAGUCAGUGGUGAAAUCCUGCAGCUCAACUGUAGAAUUGCCUUUGAUACUGGUCGUCUUGAGUCGCUGUGAAGUGGUUGGAAUAUGUAGUGUAGCGGUGAAAUGCAUAGAUAUUACAUAGAACACCUAUUGCGAAGGCAGAUCACUAACAGCGUACUGACACUGAUGGACGAAAGCGUGGGGAGCGAACAGGAUUAGAUACCCCGUAG
rnacentral:rRNA from 1 species